AUAUUGGGUGACUCCUCAUUUCUCUAUUUGCCAAACUCACCCAAACCUGUGCUAGGAAGAGAUUGAGUGGAAAAGUUGAGGCAGAAAUGCCAUUGAGAACUGGGGCUAUUGACACUGUAAUUGCUGAAACUAAAUGUGUCCAAGCAGCAGCUCUUGUUGUGCAGGGAAUAACUCCUGUCAGCAGCAAGGCCCCGACUGAAGUGGCAGCUGCAGUUGUUCCUGUGGUGUGGGCCAGUGGAACUGCAGGAGAGUGGAAGAGGGCAGAACCUGUAGGUAUUACCCCUACUGUGGGAUCUCUCCUGGUAAGGCCAAGCCAGUAUCCUUUAAAAUCAGAAUGGCAGCUUGGAUUGGUUGCAGGAACAGCUGAAUUUGCUCCUCCUGGUUUGCUUGUAGAAGGUGAAUGCAAGAACCUGCCAAGAAAACCAAUGGCCAAGGGGCUUGAUUAGUGCAGGACCUGAGAGAACCCCCUGAAAUGACAACCUGGAGCAGUUUCCAGUAUUGGAUUUAAAAGAUGGCCUUUGCUGCAUCUCCUUGAGCAAGGAAAGCCAAGAAACGUUUGCUUUUGCAGGAGAAAAGCAGGAAGGAAGAAGAGAAGCCCCGUGACUCCUCCCUGAGCCCCAGACAGCCCCUGAACUGCCUUCCUGGGAAUGGUGGGACGGGCUGGACUCUGGAUUGCUCCCUCUGGAUGUGUGACUCUCCCCUCAGGAACUCCUGGUGCCGCCUGGGCCGAUGGAUUGGACGCCCCAGCCCCUCCGUUCCUGCCCAGCCCCUGGGGCCGUGUCCAGUGGUGGCACUGCCAGCCCUGCAGGGGAAGUGGGAAGGGCCUUUGCAGCUCUUGUGGGUCACAUUUAUAGCAGUGGGAUGGAGCCUGGAAAGUGCACAGAGCUGAGCCAAGGAACUUAAAGGGACUGAGCAAGCAAAGUCAAGAAGGAAGGAAGAAGGGAACUGAGGCAGCUG